CUUUGAUUCUUUGAGGCAGAAGCGAAAUUUAGCAAUUAAGUUUGCAAUGACAAAUGCUUUUCGAAGUUUCAAGGCAUUAAGUGGACAAUCUAGGGGAAGUAAAUUGACAUGGCAUUUGGGACAGUGUCCUCAACGAUUGGGUGGACGUGAGUGUGGCUACUACGUCAUGCGUUAUAUGUACGAAAUACUUUAACAUCACCAAAGCAGUGAGGAUCUUAUUCAGGUAUGAGUUGUCAAAUAUUUCAUUUUUUUUUUUAUAAAUACAAUUUGAUGUUAGCUACAAUCUUGAAUUAAAACUUUCCUCUUGUAUAUUUGUUGUGUUGAUAGGAUUUUUCAAGAACUACACCGUACACUGAGGAGCAGAUAAAUAAGAUUCAAGAUAUUUGGGAAGAGUAUUUUAUAUAUAAUGUUGAACUUUAGAUUUACACUUAGCGCAUGUUGGACUCUUGUUUUGGAUUAUAGGCUUGACAUGAAUGAUUUUAGUUAAUUGGUGUUGGGAUGAUGAGUAUAAUGUCUAUGAUAUUGAGAUGUAAAUUAUUGGACAGGUUGUUAAUAUAAUGCCGUCAUUCCCAAUUUCAUGCGUAGGCCAAAAUACAAAGGAGACUGCCGAAAUUUACAUUUGCAUUAUUCAAUAAUAUUGCAUUUUAAUUUCAA